AUUUAUAUAAUAUAUAUACAAUUAUAUUUGACUUCCAAUCAAAAAAUCUAGAUUAUUCUAGUAUAAAUA
rnacentral:tRNA from 1 species